GAUCAUGGCUCAGGAUGAACGCUGGCGGCGUGCCUAACACAUGCAAGUCGAACGGAGUCGUUUUGGAAAAUCCUUCGGGAUUGGAAUUCUCGACUUAGUGGCGGACGGGUGAGUAACGCGUGAGCAAUCUGCCUUUAAGAGGGGGAUAACAGUCGGAAACGGCUGCUAAUACCGCAUAAAGCAUCAAAUUCGCAUGAUUUUGAUACCCAAAGGAGCAAAUCCGCUUUUA
rnacentral:rRNA from 1 species